rnacentral:lncRNA from 1 species
AAAAUGGCAGCCUUUCUGUUGGUUUCAUCUCCAUAGCAACUAUUUCAGUUUUUGGUUGUUUCGGGUUGACGAACAGGUCAAUGUAAUUUCUAGAAGAAUCGGCAAAGUGAACAAGGGGGCCUUGGUUUAUCAAGUUGACUGGUUCAAGGACGUCUACUUGAGAUAAAUUGCCAAUGGAAAUAAGAUGCAAAGAGACACUGGAAGAGUGAGGCUGUUGAGGAUACCCACCUCCCUCUUCUCCCUGCACUGCCUCAGGAAUGCUUUU